rnacentral:rRNA from 1 species
UGUGCGACCUCAGCUCAGGCGGGGCUACCCGCUGAGUUUAAGCAUAUCAAUAAGCGGAGGAAAA